rnacentral:rRNA from 1 species
UACGUAGGGGGCAAGCGUUGUCCGGAUUUAUUGGGCGUAAAGAGCGCGUAGGCGGCCAAGCAGGUCAGCUGUGAAAACUCGAGGCUCAACCUCGAGACGUCGGUUGAAACCGCUUGGCUAGAGUCCGGAAGAGGAGAGUGGAAUUCCCGGUGUAGCGGUGAAAUGCGCAGAUAUCGGGAAGAACACCCGUGGCGAAGGCGGCUCUCUGGGACGGUACUGACGCUGAGACGCGAAAGCGUGGGGAGCGAACAGG